rnacentral:rRNA from 1 species
AUUGAACGCUGGCGGCAUGCCUUACACAUGCAAGUCGAACGGUAACGCGGGGCAACCUGGCGACGAGUGGCGAACGGGUGAGUAAUGCAUCGGAACGUGCCCAGUAGUGGGGGAUAGCCCGGCGAAAGCCGGAUUAAUACCGCAUACGACCUAUGGGUGAAAGCGGGGGAUCGUAAGACCUCGCGCUAUUGGAGCGGCCGAUGUCAGAUUAGGUUGUUGGUGGGGUAAAGGCCUACCAAGCCUGCGAUCUGUAGCUGGUCUGAGAGGACGACCAGCCACACUGGGACUGAGAUACGGCCCAGACUCUUACGGGAGGCAGCAGUGGGGGAAUUUUGGACAAUGGGCGAAAGCCUGAUCCAGCCAUGCCGCGUGCGGGAAGAAGGCCUCGGUU